rnacentral:tRNA from 1 species
GCGAAUGUGGUGAAGUUGGUUAACACAACCGGUUGUGGUCCGGUCAUUCGCGGGUUCGAGUCCCGUCUUUCGCCCCA